UUUGCUUAAAAUAAAAGGUCCAGCCUGCCCAGUGACACUGUUCAACGGCCGCGGUAUCCUAACCGUGCGAAGGUAGCGUAAUCACUUGUUCUUUAAAUGAGGACUAGUAUGAAAGGCACCACGAGAGUCAUACUGUCUCCUCUUUCCAAUCAGUUAAACUAAUCUCCCCGUGAAGAAGCGAGGAUAACUAUAUAAGACGAGAAGACCCUAUGGAGCUUUAAACGAAUAACACUUGCCCACUUACUCCUUUAAAUUUCAGAAAAAUCUAUUACCUUGGCAUCAUGCUUAUAAGUUUUUGAUUGGGGUGAUCACGGAACAAAAAAUAACCUCCGCAAUGAAAGACUCUCCAUAACUAAGUCAAGAACCACAACUCUACACAUCAACAAAUUGACACCAAUUGACCCAAUUUAUUGAUCAAUGAAC
rnacentral:rRNA from 1 species